UACGUGGGGGGCGAGCGUUGUUCGGAAUUAUUGGGCGUAAAGGGUGCGUAGGCGGUUUGGUAAGUCUUAUGUGAAAUCUACAGGCUCAACUUGUAGUAUGCAUGAGAAACUGCCGGGCUUGAGUAUGGGAGAGGUGAGUGGAAUUCCUGGUGUAGCGGUGAAAUGCGUAGAUAUCAGGAGGAACACCUGUGGCGAAAGCGGCUCACUGGACCAUAACUGACGCUGAUGCACGAAAGCUAGGGGAGCAAACAGG
rnacentral:rRNA from 1 species